AUUACUCUCGUCUAGAUGGUCACGUCUGACGACACUGAGGCGGAAGCCGGAAGAAAAACAACAACCGGUUUGUUUCAUAUUCUGAGCUUCUUCUUUUUUUUCAAAGAGCACUACUAUAUACAAUGGACGUGGUGGAGACCAAACUCACAGGGUCCCCUGGGCCCAAAGGUAUCCAUGGAGACCAAGUAAUGCAGACCCUGAGGGGGUGAAGCAGGAGGACUGUGGGCCCCUAACAACACCCCUAACAACGUACCUGAGUUUUGCUCAUGUGAAAACAGAAGAAGAGGAGGAAGAGAUAUGGGGUGUGGCUCACCCAAGUACAGGGUUCUUCAACGUCAAGAAAGAGGAAGAGGAAGAAGCCAUAAUAUAUCCUAUACAGCCUAAUGACAACCCAAGCCCUACUUCUGACCUUACCAGCCACAGUUCUGACGACUCCAGCCCUGACAAUGGCCCUAGAGCCACCCCUGACAAUGGCCCUAGAGCCACCCCUGACAAGAACAACCCCCACCAUAAUAGCGACCCCAGGUCUGGCCCUGCCGGUGGAGGGGCAUCGGACAAGGACCCUGCAUCCAGAGAGGAAGACGAGGAGGGAGAGGAGAGGAGCCCCCAGAUCUCAGCAAACCCAGGGACUAAGCCCAACAAGACCAAAGGCGGUCGUCAGAGA